UGUUCUUUAGACCCACAAAGUUCUCAUCAACCCCAUGGCCUUUGUACUCGCCAUUUCCCCUCCCUAUGAUGUCCUUCUCCCCAAAUAUCCACAUAGCUCACACCUUGUCUUUGCCCAAGCCACCUUGUCAGAGAGGUCUCUUCUGAUCUCUCUGGUUUCUUGGCUCCUUCUACAUUUGGGGGUCGCUUUGCACAUAGGGCCCUUUCAUGGAACAGCACUGUCAACCAUACCACCCAAGCCUAUCUCUUUUCACUCUCAAGAACAUGUGUGGUCACAGAAAAACGAGGUGGUGAUUAGCGGGAACACAUAUUUGCCCUCCUAAAUCUUGGUCAUUUAUGAUAAUGAUGAUGAUGACGAACAAUAUUUUCUGAGUGUUUACUAUUAUCCAGGAACUGUUCGAAGGGGUUUUUAUGUAUCAACUCAUUUAACCCUCACAAUUAACUUACAUGGUAAGUACCAUUUAUACCCAUUUUAUAAAUGAGGAAACGAAGGCAAAGUAGGAUUAUGUAGCUCACCCAGGUCAGAGCUGUAAGAGACACAGCUGGGAUUAUAAUCCAGCCAGUCUGACACCAGAGUCCAUGUUUUUAAUCACGGUUCUGCUCAUCGCUAUGCAGAGCUAGCUUCACUUUUGAAGAUAGAGGAGACUAUAGCAGAAGGCCUGAUUAUUAUUAAUAGAUGAGUGAAUAGUUCAAACGCAAAUGAUCUAAAUGCAAACAGUUCUACCGAGAGGGCAUCCCCACCCAAGCAUCUCUACUGAUAUCCCAGAUAUGUCAAAAUGGGGUUCCAACAGAAGGGCUAUAAGUGUCCUCACUAAUGCCCCACAAUUCUGGAAGGCCAUUCCGGCAGUAUCUGUUCCCCCUAAAAAGCACACUCUUCCUAGUAAAUCGUUUGGGAGGAUGGACAAUAUUUUUCUUUUCUCAAAGAAUUGCCUCCCAGGUCGUACAGAUCCCCCUUAAGAGGAGAGCCAGGAAUCUUCUUAUGCCUACUUCCCUCCCUUUGUCCCGCUACACUUCCCCUUGGCCUGAUUCCAUCUGAAAGACACUGCAAACUGUAGAGUCACCACCUUGACCUGACAUCUACUCUUUCUCCACUUUCUCUACCUUGGUGGGCCAGUGGCAGGUUCUUAUUUGACAAUAU
rnacentral:lncRNA from 1 species